GACGAACGCUGGCGGCGUGCCUAAUACAUGCAAGUAGAACGCUGAAGAGAGGAGCUUGCUCUUCUUGGAUGAGUUGCGAACGGGUGAGUAACGCGUAGGUAACCUGCCUGGUAGCGGGGGAUAACUAUUGGAAACGAUAGCUGAUACCGCAUAAAAUUGAUUAUUGCAUGAUAAUUAAUUGAAAGAUGCAACUGCAUCACUACCAGAUGGACCUGCGUUGUAUUAGCUAGUUGGUGAGGUAACGGCUCACCAAGGCGACGAUACAUAGCCGACCUGAGAGGGUGAUCGGCCACACUGGGACUGAGACACGGCCCAGACUCCUACGGGAGGCAGCAGUAGGGAAUCUUCGGCAAUGGGGGGAACCCUGACCGAGCAACGCCGCGGGAGUGAAGAAGGUUUUCGGAUCGUAAAGCUCUGUUGUAAGAGAAGAACGGGUGUGAGAGUGGAAAGUUCACACUGUGACGGUAUCUUACCAGAAAGGGACGGCUAACUACGUG
rnacentral:rRNA from 1 species